rnacentral:rRNA from 1 species
GACGAACGCUGGCGGCGUGCUUAACACAUGCAAGUCGAACGGAAAGGCCCUGCUUUUGUGGGGUGCUCGAGUGGCGAACGGGUGAGUAACACGUGAGUAACCUGCCCUUGACUUUGGGAUAACUUCAGGAAACUGGGGCUAAUACCGGAUUGGAGCUCCUGCUGCAUGGUGGGGGUUGGAAAGUUUCGGCGGUUGGGGAUGGACUCGCGGCUUAUCAGCUUGUUGGUGGGGUAGUGGCUUACCAAGGCUUUGACGGGUAGCCGGCCUGAGAGGGUGACCGGCCACAUUGGGACUGAGAUACGGCCCAGACUCCUAAGGGAGGCAGCAGUGGGGAAUAUUGCACAAUGGGCGGAAGCCUGAUGCAGCAACGCCGCGUGCGGGAUGACGGCCUUCGGGUUGUAAACCGCUUUCGCCUGUGACGAAGCGUGAGUGACGGUAAUGUGUAAAGAAGCACCGGCUAACUACGUG